CAAUGCAAGUCCACUGUGUCCACGAGUUCAGAAAACAGGCUGUUCAGAGAGCUAGAGCUUGUGAUGGCAUAAGGCCUUACUCCACAUGUUCACGAAUGUGUUGGAAUGAUAUGGUCUGGAGUUUGUGAUUUCGCGUAUUUUACGAAUGACAUACGAAAGAUUUUGUAUGUAAAAGAGACUGUCAUACAACAUGAACUCCUUUUUUUUAAGGUCUGGGAUGACAAUUGAGUGGUGGUGGGCGAGAUAACAGACGCACUCUGCGUGAAGAGAGCUUAUUACGCUGAAGGUGAUGAUACGUAUGGUGGAGGUAAGACCUGCUGUGAUGUAUGGGCUAGAGAGAGCACCACUUAAGAAAAUGCAUUGAAAUAAGUUAAACAUGGCUGAAAUGAGGAUGCUCUGAUGGAUGAGUGGAGUGACGAGAAGACAGAGGAUAAAAAAUGGAUACAUUAGAGGAUCAGCAAAGUCACUGAACACCCGUACGGUGGUAAUGCACCUCAGUGCACCUCAUGCGGGGCAAGGAACAAUGCCCAGGAGUCUGACGAAUGAUCUUGCAGUCCAACACUUCGAUCAUUUUGACAGAGGAACAAUUCAUCUCCCUAGCUCUUACAACCAGGAUCGAAACAAGCUUCAGUGAGAAGAAUUAGCUUUUAUCCUAGUGUAAAGUGUCCUGAAUGAUCCUAUUUCUGCUUUUAAGGUAAGGCAAGUUUGUGUUAUCUGAACUCGGUGCACUAGAUUAUUCUGACUAUAGAAACUGUGUAACCUAUCUGCUAAAUUUACAGUCCACUAAUCAUCACUUAUCAAACUCACACACAGCUUGGGGGUUAUUAAAUUUGUCUCUGCACCUUUCCCACCUCCUUUGCUUAAUGUAGGAAUUGGCUAUCAAAAUACUACAGGUAAGAUUAAUUUCAAAUAGUACAGGCAAUUCCCGGUUAUCGACUGGGGUUCUAUCCCAACGGCUUGAUGAUAAAGCGAAAAUCACUAUGACUAAAAAUCGACAAUUUUUUACGUUUACUGGCACCGAUAACCAGUUAAUGGCACCUCUGUUAGGUAUGCUUCAGGGCCAGUACUCUACUAUCAGCGUUGACAACUGGAAGUCUGUGCAUUUCGGCCCCAAAAAUUGCCAAUUUUUGGUGCUAGACAAGCCCCAUAAAACCGGAUCACCAAUGAUAAUGGAAAAUCAGCAAUAAUAACACCAAUGUCCAGUUAUUGGCGCUGAUAAUUGGGUGUUUGUGCUGAUAACCCCCGGGGAUUGGCGCAUAUUGGCACCAAAAAUCCAGUUAUCGUCGUUGUUAGACAAGCGUUGUAAAACUAGAUCACCAAUAACCGAGGUUGCCGAUAACUGGGGACUGCCUGUAAUGUUGCUUUAUUAUCCAUUUAUGCGAAAAGGCCCAAAAAUCUGACAGCUGAACACACAGUUCCCAUAUUCUGUUCAGCCUGUCGGAGGCAAGGGUCUCUUCCUUGACCUAUUUCGACCAGGAAGACCACCCAGGGGAGGCAAAGCACCAAUCAAUUUAGGUUACUCAGUCUAUGGUUUGUAUAUUGUGUAGGAACACAUGACAAAAUUUUAAAGUAAUUUGUAUUUUCCCUAACUAUACAAACCAGAGGUCUUUACAUUAGUAUAUGCCCACCUGAUGCCACCCCUCAGUCUGACACCUAGCCCAAAAGGCAAAAUAGAAUGGGAACUUGAAGUGAAACUUAUCUGUAUCGGUACCAUUUCCAGCAAGUGACGGCUUGACCUACCAUCUACCUGCAAGGAGAGGAAGGAUGAAGGAGAAAGGAGGGUAGCAAGUGAUGGCUUGACCUACCCUCUACUCGCAGGGAGAGGAAGGAUGAAGGAGAAAGGAGGGAAGUCCAGUCACUCACAUACAUACCCUUACAUUCACAGCUGAACACCUUAAGGCAAGGUGCUACCUAUCUUCUUAGAGGAGUCGAGUAAGCUGCAAACUUGUUGACCACACCCCUGCCUUCAGUACCUGAGGAACAGACAGAUUCUUCCUGAAUGCAAGGCUCUUGCCCAGAAUGCACCUGGAUUCUCCUCGCUCAAAGUGGAGUACGCCUGUUUGACCACCUCACGAAGCCAGAAAGAGAUCUUGUUCUUGGGCACCUCUUUCUUGGUCGAGCCAGUACUAACAGAGUUGUCAACACUUAUGCCUGAGGUGUUGAAUUGUCUUUAGAUAGUACCGCUGAACUCUAGUAGGACAGAGUAGCAUCUUGUCUGGAUCAUUAGCAAUAUGAAUCUUCGCUACGAAAUUGAGAGUAACCAAUCCCCUUCUCUUUGCUGAUGCCAGGGCAACCAGAAAGAUGGUCUUGAGAGUCACAUCCCUAUCUGAUGGCUCUCAUAGAGGCUCAUAUGGUGCAUGAGUGAGGCUCCUCAGAAUGAGAGUCAUAUCCCACUCAGGCGGCCUGAGUUCCCUGGGAGGGUAAGACCUUUCAAUGCCCUUCAUCACCAGAGAAAUCUCCAGAGAGGAGGAGAUAUCAACACCUUUCAGGCAUAAGAAGAUUAGGCUGAGGGUGACUGCAGAGGAUUGUCACAGGUAUCCAGACAUCUCUCGCUCACGAGAUGCUGAAUAGUCUCUAGCCAUUAAGUGGCAGGGACUCCACUGACUGGUGGUACCAUUCUAUGAAUGGUUGAGCUAGAAGGUUGUGCCAGUAUGGAAACACUUGGUUCCUCAUUAAGUAGAGCUAGCAGGUCCAGAUACCAUAUGGCAUGUGGCCAUUUGGGAGCCACCAGGGUCAUUCUGAGAUUCAAGGUGAUCAUACCCUGUUGAUCACCCACUGUAUCAGACAAAAUGUAGGGAAGGCUUAAGCAUCCAGGUUGUCGCAUGGGUGGUGGAAGGUGUCCUCUGCUACUGCCCAUGGUACUGAGUAUGAUGGAAAAAACAAUGUCAGCUUCCUGUUAUGCCACAUGGCAAACAGGUCGAUGGAAGGAAGCCCCAAAUGCUAGAGAGCCUUUCCAUGAUGUCUGUGUGAUAGGGACAGAACCCUGGCAACUAAACUAAGCUUGUCUGCCAUUACAGCAUUCCUCUUGCCUGGAAUGUAUCUGGCUAACAGCUCUAAUGAGUGUGCUAUCGCCCACUCAUGCACCUGCAUCAUCAAGUGAAGCGAACACGAUACUGAGCCUCCUUCCUUGUUGACGUAUACCGCUAUAUGUACUGUGAUGUUGUUGCUUAUCAACACCACCGAGUGUCCUAUCAGUUGAUCCUGAAACUGUUGGAGAGCCAGGAAGGCUGCCUUAAGUUCCAGGAUACUGAUGUGAAUGUGUUUGUCAUUUUAGUUCCACACACCUGAGUUCAGCAAUGCCUCCAGGUGUGCGCCCAUCCCUUGGUCAAAGCAACUGAGAACAGAAACAUCCCCAGAGGGGGAGUGUGUAGAUUAGAGGUACUCCUGUUAUGAGGGUCCUGUCAUCCAGCCACCAGGCUGAGUCCUGUUUCACUUCCUCCAAGAGAAGAAUGAGAAAGGAUGGAAGGUCCAAUGCUGGAGACCAAAACUCCUUCAUCCUCCAUUGAAGACAACACAGAUGAAGUAGCCCAUGAGGGACCAGCUUCUCUAAGGAUGGCAGGUGUUUGAGAAUGACUAGUCACUACUGAACUGGUUGAUCCUGCCAUGAUAGGAACAGCUGUGCUACCUGCCUGAGACUUCUGAUACUUGAGUCUGAGAGGAAGACUCUUGCUACUGCCAUGUCUAUCAGCAUGCCCAGGUACUUCAUCCUUUGCUUGGGAGUGAGAUUGGACUUCUCAUAUUUAUCACCACCCCAAUGUUAUGGCAAAACUCGAGAAAGUGAUCCCUAUCCCAGAGCAACUGCAACCGAGAACUUGCCAGGAAUAGCUGAUUGUCGAGAUACUUCAGAGGACAUAUCCCAUGCGAAUGGGACCAAGCUGACACAGGAGUGAAAGCUCGGCAUGAACACUUGGGGAGCAGAUUAGAACCUGAAACAAAGUGCCCUGAACUGGUAUGCCACCUUCCCGAGGAUGAAGUGUAGACACUUGCGAGCUCACGGAUAAACGGUUACUUGAAAAUAUGCAUUCUUCAGGUCCACUGUAAGCACAGUCAUACUCCCUGAUGAUCGCGAGCACUGAGCGUAUCUUUUCCACCUUGAACCAAGUCUGGCGAACAAAUUGAUUAAAGGGAGAGAGAUCUAUGACUGGCCUCCAAACCCCCGUUGCUUUCUCCAGAGGAAAGAUUCGGCUGUAAAAGCGUGGGGACCAAUCUAUCACGACUUGCACUGCGCCUUUCUCCAGCAUCACUCAGAUCUGCUCCUAGAGGCCGAGGUCCUUUGGUGCUUUAGCCGAUUACAUAUAAACAGAUUGACUGGAUUGUUGGUGAGGGGCAGUCAAAACUGAAAGGAGAGUCGAUAGCCUUCCCAAAGAACAUCUACUGCCCAUGUCUUGGCUCCGUAUCACUGUCAUGUUGCUCAUUGGCUCGAUAGGCACCACUCCCCACCAGCAGCUGCAUGUGGAAGGGAACCAACCCUAGCAUCCUCCUCUCUUCUUAUGUUUACCUAUCUUUACAGACUGGCAGGGAGGUUGAAAGGGGCACAAGUGCACUCCUUUCUUAGUGGGAACAGAAGAAGGUUGAGUGUUCCCCGGAUACCCUUCAAAGCCUGGGUCUUCUUGGGGUCUAAGGAGGAAUUGCAAGCCUGACCCCAAAGGUCAGGCCACAAGGGCACGUGAAGACUAAACAGUCUUGGUUGCUGCCUGGUGGACAAGAUGGUCGUUGUCCUCUACAUAACAUUUGUCCACCAUAGUGUCCACCUGCUCCCUGGGAAAGAGAGAGGUAGAUCCCAGUAAUGGUCCAUUCCUCAGAGCCAGAGCCAAUUCUGGGUCAACAAACUUGGAAAUAUGGUUCAGAACAGUGUCCCCCACUCGGUUAAACCAAGUUUGCCCACAGGCUUGCCAUCUGAUGGGUCCGGUAGGUGAGUGCCCUACCUCCAGAUUGGCAGUCCCUUGAAGGUGGAAUCUUCCCCUGGGGCAAUAGAUCCCAGUAGUAGUACUUCUUUGGUCGAAGCAGAGGAGGGUUAGCCAGAAGUGAACUCUCCCAGAUGCCAGAGUUCACUUGCUCUUAAUGCCCCUCCAGAAAGCAUAGACCAAGGAAACCCUACUGAAGCCUUGAGUUCCUUCUUGGGUCCCAAAAAGGCUUUGAGGUGCAAUGGACGGUCCAUGGGCACGGCCACAGUUCUUUUCCCAAGAAUGUUGCACUGACGGUUCAGCUUAAAAUGGUCUCUAAAAAGGUCCUCUGUAUCUCAGGAGAGUACGAAUUCUGAGGAAGAGAACCUUCAAGUCCUACCAGAGCACAGUCUACCUGAUCAACUUCCCAUGCAGGAGGGAGAACCUCGACAGAACCCCCACUCCUCUCAACCACUUGGGUAAACGUAUUGGUUAAUCCAAGAACCAAACCCAGUAUGUAAGCCUUUGCGGUGGGGCUGCAUUGGGUAGAAGCGUCCCCCCCUGGUAUAACCCCAGGAGGUUGAGGGGACAGGUGAGUGGGAACGAAUAUUCUUUCGUAUCUUGUCGGAAGCCAAAGUUCAGGCAGGAGAGGAUGUCAGAUGCCAAAGCUCGAGCAAAAGAGGAAAGCUGUUAGUGAUUGCCGACCCACGGUGACGAUGGCUGCACAGGUCUAGGAGAAUGACCCCUCACAAGCAAACAUGGGGGGGAGCUGUCCCAAGGAGAUUGAAUGGGUUCAUGCUGGUGUACGCAGAAGUUAUCCCCAGGUGUAUGCGCUCGUUCACACAAAUGUGAGCAAGGGUGACUGGGGAAAGCAAUUGCUUCUCUCAGGCAUGAACUCAGGCUGGCCUCACAACAUACUCCAGUCUUUUUUGAGGCCGUGGCCUCCUGACAAGAAUACUGUGUGGGGGACCUCUACAAUGCUUUUCCAAGUGUGCGGACCCUCAGGCCAGCAACACCUGAAAAUGGGACUCUGGGUGCCUACUUGGGCAAGUAGUGGCAAGAGGUGAAGAAGCCCCUGCAUGCUUCAUCACCUUCUCUCGCUGGGUGCCUACUUGGGCAAGUAGUGGCAAGAGGUGAAGAAGCCCCUGCAUGCUUCAUCACCUUCUCUCGUGUAAUGCCUUCACCAAACCAAGGAGCUGACUUCUUAGUGCUGGUGGAGGUAACUCGAGGUUUCAUAGAAACCCUGUGUCCCCAGAGUCACGAUUCUGCUUGAAGGGUGGCAUACUUGUAGCUCCCAAAUCACGUACUUAACAAUCAUCAGUAGCUUUUUUCUAUUCGAGUGUUUGAAGAUAUGCGGGUAGAGGUAGUCACUACACUAGUUCUAGGUGGCUUCCAAGAAUUAGUUUCAGAUAUGCGAGUACUCUUGGAGACCCACUCACUUAAAGCUCCCAAAUCAUGAAGUCUCAGACAGACUUGUGACAUAGCCCCCGAGUCCGAAGACUGAGGAGAGUGAGGGAGAGAUCCUACUAUCUCCCCUGUGGAGGGAGGCACCCAAUCAGAAGACCCAUGGCAGGACCUCUGGACUGGAAAAGCAAUAAUCUUCUUCCUCCACUGGUGAGCCAUGGAAGAAGGGGAGAAGACAGCAGACAGUACGAGGAAGAUGAUGAGGAUGAAGGUCAGAAAUACCCUGGUUAUCUCAGAUCUUCUACAGCCAUGUACCAGGGAAAGUGGGCCAUCUACUGUGAUUGGUGUCAUCAAAGGAUUUUCUGUCCAGUCAGCCUACUAUUCAACAAGUAAUAGACAUCCUCAUUUUUCUCCGAAGAGAGAAACUCCUUUCGAUGUCAGUCAUCAAGGGAUAUUGGAAUGCAUUAGAUUUAGUUCUAUGUUUGAAGGAUGUAGACCUCUUGUCUUUAUGGGAAUCUUUAUGCUUCACAGGAGUUUUGAGCAGUCCUGUUCCCCAGAGAGAUCGUAGACCUAAUUGUUCCCUAACACUUGUGCUCAGCAGUCUCACACAUAGUCCAUACGAACCCUUACGGGUUUCAUUAGAUAGAAAUUUAACUCUCAAGAUGGUUUUCCUUUUAGCCUUGGCCUCAUCAAAGUCAGUGAACUUCCUGGACUCCUUUUUUUUUUU